GCUGCUCCCUCAGAAAUAGGAUUUCAUCUGCUGAGGGGAUUGGGGUAGAUCUUCCAGGUGUGGGCUAGAUCUGUCGUCCAUGGUCCAUGCUUCUGGUUUAUAAAAAACACCAGUGGUUGGGGAUUCUCACAUGGUGUGGGUGGAGAUAUAAACCCAGGCUACAUCUGUAAGAGGGCUACUUCAGAGUGUCUACCAACAUGGAAAAUGCACAAAUCAGUUGGUUAUAACUGCAAGAAAUGCAAAUAUCUGAUGUCUCCAUGUCCUUGAAGAUUGGAUGAUUUGCAUUAUGAGAAGCAAGGCUUAACCUCAGAGGCCAGCAUCAUCCCUGGAGUGAUGGAAGCAAGCCUGCGGCUCAUUCUCCUUUGCCUGCACCCAAAAGCAUUUAAGGAUUUGUUUCCAGGAAGCUGCUGAAAAUAUGGAAACUUGACAUCACCAGCAAACUUGCUGAGAUGACAUUCACCCAUCAUCUGAGACUCCUCAUGUCUAACGCUGUAGCUUUGGAGGAUGAAGUUUUCCAAGGUAUCACCAUUCCUAUCACCUAACAUCCGAGGACUUGUGGCUGUUAAUGUUGACAUGAAUCACCUAGCCACUGGAGUGUUUGCUGGGUUGGUCCGGCCUUCUAUGACUGCUCCUGUCCCUCUGUGCUCUACUGUUAGUGGGAAAUUGACAGGCAGACCACAGCUGAAGGAGUGUGAGUUACACUCCCCAUCCUGGAGGCAGAACAUCUGCAUAGACUGUAUGGAAUCCUUCUGUAUGGAAAUUCACCUCUUACCACUUAGUUAUGUGUUCCAAUCAGAGCAUAUUUGUAGGUAUUCAUUUUAUACUUUAGGUGUGUUUAUUUUGUUACUCAGAUUGUCACAACCUUGGCCUUUAGGAGGCCUUUCAAUUGACUUCUGUGAUGUAGCAUUACUUUUUUUGAGGAUCGUUUAUUUCUUUGUUAGUUUUUUCAGACUUUCUGACCUUGUGAGAUCCUCCACGCUUGUCUUUCAUACUGCCCUUCUCAGUUGGAUCUGCGUGUUGUUUCUGGGAUCUCUAAUUGUCUUUACUAGACAUGGUUUUUAGAAACUGCUAUCUGGACACUAAAUGUGCUCAUUGCUAAUGGGCAGUUAUUCGGGGGAACUUCUUGGCUGACAGCAAAGAAUGCAUGUGUGCAUACUAACCUGUGUGCUUGUACUGUGCAUACUAACCUAUGAAUCUUCUAAGUUGAAUGCAUGAAAGUUCACUAUUUGUGAUGUAAACACUAUGGGUUUUGACAAAUGCCAAGUACCAUUUAUUUACCGUUAGAGUAUUAUAUAAAAUAGUUUUCCUGGUCUGACCCCUGCCCUCCCCACACACACAUUUCUCAUUGCACCUAUACACCACACUCCAUUUCCUUGGGCUCCUGGUAAUCAUUGAUUUUUUUUUCUCCCACUGUCUCUAAAGUUUUGUUUCUUACCAAAAAAGUCACAUAAUUGGAAACCAACAAUGUUCAGCCUUUUCCAACUGAUUUUUACUCAUUUACAAUGAGCAUUUAAUCUUCAUGCUUUGGUAGCUCUUUUAUUGUUUAGUAAGGUUCUGUUUAAUGGGUACAGAACAGUUUGUUUUUUCAUUCACUUAUUGAGGGAUGUCCGUGUAGUGUCCAGAUUUGGGGUGAUGUUAAUGGGGAGAGAGUGUUGAAACUUUUGCACCACUGUGACCAGCUAGGAAAAAAUGUUUUUCUCAAUGAUGCUACCACUGAACUUUUCAAAUACUUGCUGGUAUGAUGAGAUACCUACAUGUGUAUGAGAUAUGUGUAUUGUUCAAAGAAUGGAAUGAAUACCUUGAGCUAGCCCAAGAUGUUUUCCCUCAAAGCCCCUAGUGAGGCCUCCCUGACAGCCCUUCUCUGUUUCCCACGCCUUGCACCUAUGGCCUUUCGGAAUACAGAGGAGCCCGAUGCACUUCAUGAUGGGUCCGACAGAGGCUACCUGGCUCUCCAAGAUGAUCAUCCAGUGGCUGGGAUGGCAUUCAGUUCUGCUGAUUCCUGAUUCAAUGGGCUACUCACUGAUAAUAAAAUGUUAUUUUAUCUUUUCAAAGCAAAAAAAAAUUUGAGAUUCAUUUUGAACAAGGGCCAUCUUCCCAGUCAAAAUAAAUACCUGUCAACAUUAUCUUUGUACCAGAUAAUUUUAUGACCACUUGACACAAGUCAGAAUCAUUUGGGAAAAGGGAACCCUAUUUGAGUAAAUGCCCCCAUCAGAUUGGCCUUUGGUGCAUUUUCUUUAUUGACUAUUGAUGUGGGAGAGCCCUGGUCCUUGUGGGUGGUUUCAUCCCUGAACUGGUGGUCCUGGGUGCUAUACGAAAGCAAGAUAAGAGAUCCAUGAGGACCAAGCCAGUAAACAGCUCUCCUUCAUGGCCUCUGCAUCAGUUAUGGCUCCAGUUCCUUUCUUGAGCUCCUGUCCUGACUUCCCUAGGUGAUGAAGUACAAGCUGUAAAAUGAAAUAAACCCUUUCCUCCCU
ensembl:lncRNA